GCUUAGAGCAUACAUUUCUACAAGGAAUAAAGGCAACGCAGGAGGUGCUGUAAGUGAUGGUAAGGAAUUAAAUCAAUAAUGAUUUAUCUUAGCAUCAAGAUGAAAAACUCUAUCUUUCCAUGUUGUACAGUUUCUUAUCAUUCAGUCAGGCACAAACACUGAUAAAGUGAAAACUUUAACAAGUGUAAUAAGGAGACAGAGGAUUGCUAUGCAUCAGCCCCUGUACAGCGCACUCUUUGCACACCUUAUGUGGCAUCUAUUUUUUAUUUUUAAAACCCAAAACGUGCUUUUUGUUGGUCGGUUUGUAUUUCUUUACCGAUUCAAAUUUGCCCCCCGCGUUCUUACCUCUGAAUUUUUGCCCGCGUUGAAACUCCUACGUCGCCUGCAUCGAUUGUGCUCUGCCCACUGCCACCGGCAACGCCGUCUCUCUUUCCAGCGACACCGAGGCGGUCUGCACAGCGCUACCACUCCACUCGUCGCCCAGCUCUACUCCCUCCCAGUCGCCAGCUCAUCUCCUUUUCUUCCUCUCCCCACCCCCUGCGUCGCCCCCCACCCCCACCAGCUGCGUCGCCCAUCCUCUCCCCCACCCCUACGAGCUGGGUCACAACACAUGCCGUCUUUUCGUCGGCGUCGCCCCCCACCCACACCAGCUGGGUCACAACUCACAAGGAUGAUUUUUUUCCCAGGUUGGAUGGCUUGGAUUCUGCAUUCGCAUCAUCUUCAAAUAUUAGAGGCAGCAAAAUGUGGGUUUGAUGUUGAUGGGUUUCGCCAUCCUACUCAUCCGGCCAGGAGAUGGAACAUCUGCUGAUGUAUUUAAGCUUUCUCUUCCAGCACCUCAUUGGAUGAAAUGAGUUUGUUUCUCUAUCUCGAGAAUAAAUUCUUGUACUUUGUUAUCGUAGAUUUCAGUUUUCUUGAAUUUUUUGUUCUAUUAUGCUCGUAGGUAAAAUUUGGUACCUGGAUUUUGCUUGAUUUGUGUCAGUGUUCUGUAAUAUGUGGUGGGUUAUGGUUGAUAACAUAGUUUUCUUUUCUUUUUGUCUCCUACGGCUAGGGAUUGUGCUUGAAUUUUGUUUUGGGGGAGUGAUUUUGUGUUUAGGGUUUUCUUCUCAUUUUCUUUUCGUAGAAUGCAAAAAUGUUUGCUCCUUUCACCAGCUUACUAAUAAUUUAUUCAGUUACUAAUUUUACAAUAAACUAUUUUGCACUCUAAAAAUUUGGUUUGAGAUGAGAAGAAGAUAGUAGAAAAUUCGUGCGAAAGUUUUGUUCUCUUGACAAAGAGGUUUCUUGGUUUUUAGAAUUUCUACCUCUGUCCUCUAGAAAUUGCAAUAGCUAUGAUGUGCCUGGCUUUGUUUUCCGAGAGUUGCACCCUUUUGAUCAAGCUAUGUUUUUGUUUGCCUAAUCCUUGUAUGAUUUUUGCUUAAAGCCUUUGGGAACUCUACUGCUUUUGUUUUUUAUGACACUUGUGUUUCUAUGUAGUAAUUAAGCCUUGAGGAGAUUUUUUUUACCACCUUUGGAAGGAAAAGUAAAACUUGAAUUUGGUUAGUAGUUGUUGUUUGGAACGAUUGGCUGUGAGCCUGUGGUAUACUUCUUAUAAUGCAGUUAUUGGUGUACAAACAUCAAAUUUGUUCUCUUUAAAUAACUUAAAAUAUGAAGAAUGAGAGUUUCAUGGACGCUCUACCAAUUUCACUGUAUUGAGUGCCACAUGCAUAUUGAGAUACAUAUGCUAAUUUAUCAUUGAUUAGUCAUUCCCUUUAGAAGGUUUGGAUUUCUUUUUCUUUCUUUCUUUCUUUUUUUUUUUUUGGGGGGGGGGGGGGGGUGGGGUUUAUAAUUGCUCUGGUAUUUGCUUCAUUAACUUUUUACCUUUUUUUGUUUCAGUGAAUGAUUUAAUCAAUCUAGCCAUGCAUUAUAGUUAUAAGUCUUACUAAUUAUGUCAUUUGACUAUCGGAAUUACAUAUUCAAUUCCUUGUUCCAAUUAUUUUUUCGCCUAGUAUUCAGUUUCAGUGUCCCUUCAUUAGUUUAUGUGAUGUCUCUACUUAUUUAAAAAAAAAGUUUAUGUGAUAUCUCUAGGAUGUUUGUUGAAAUAUUUAGUUGAGGUUUGGCAAAAUGAGUAAUUGGUUCAUAAUUCAUUUGAGUGGAAACUCAAAAGAAUUAGCUUGUCCAUUUCUCGUACACUAUCACCGACAACUUUGUCUUUAUCAAUAUGUAUUGUUGUCUGAUCCAACCAAUUCAUGAAGGAACUGGUUGGUAUGUUUGAACCAUUCUAAUUUAUUUGAUUAAGAUGUUCAAUUUAAGUAGUUAGUACUGAUGGGCUUUCUUUCAAGAUGCUUUUGAAUUUAAUCAUACUGUGCUGUAUUUAUGAUGGGGAGCAUUGAGGCAUGAUUUCAGUUGGUUUGGUGCUUAGUUCAGAAUUCUUAUUGUGUGCCACUUUGACUUACACCCCUGUUUCAUUUUUCCUUCAGUUCUGCCUCAAGAAAGGAGGUACAUCAAGGAAGAAUGAGAUUGUGUUCAUUGCUCCUACUGGAGAGGAGAUCAAUAACAAAAAACAACUGGAGCAGUUCCUAAAAUCACACACUGGUGGUUUUGAUGUGUUGUACAGAGAAGGAAAAGCCAGAUUGGUGCUAAAACUAUGCACACUGGAGGAAACAAGAAAAUGAGACUACUUAGAUUAGAAUCUUGGAUUUUGGAAUAUUGGAUUUUGUAAUGAAUAUUUUUUUUUUGAUAAGUAAACGAUAGUAUUAAUAAGAAUAGGCAUAGCCCAAGUACACAAGGAGGUAUACAAGAGAUUGUAAUGAAUAUUAUGAGACUACUUAGAUUGUAAUAAGCUACUUUGUAAUGUUGUAUCUAAUUAGAAUGAAUAUUAUGACUCAAUAUUUUACUAGAUGA